rnacentral:rRNA from 1 species
GGUUAAGCGACUAAGCGUACACGGUGGAUGCCCUGGCAGUCAGAGGCGAUGAAGGGCGUGCUAAUCUGCGAUAAGCGCCGGUAAGGUGAUAUGAACCGUUAUAACCGGCGAUACCCGAAUGGGGAAACCCAGUGUGACUCGUCACACUAUCAUUAACUGAAUCCAUAGGUUAAUGAGGCGAACCGGGGAACUGAAACAUCUAAGUACCCCGAGGAAAAGAAAUCAACCGAGAUUCCCCCAGUAGCGGCGAGCGAACGGGGAGGAGCCCAGAGCCUGAAUCAGCAUGUGUGUUAGUGGAAGCGUCUGGAAAGGCGCGCGAUACAGGGUGACAGCCCCGUACACAAAAGCGCAUGUGCUGUGAGCUCGAUGAGUAGGGCGGGACACGUGGUAUCCUGUCUGAAUAUGGGGGACCAUCCUCCAAGGCUAAAUACUCCUGACUGACCGAUAGUGAACCAGUACCGUGAGGGAAAGGCGAAAAAGAACCCCGGCGAGGGGAGUGAAAAAGAACCUGAAACCGUGUACGUACAAGCAGUGGGAGCACAGGUUUACCUGUGUGACUGCGUACCUUUUGUAUAAUGGGUCAGCGACUUAUAUUCUGUAGCAAGGUUAACCGAAUAGGGGAGCCGGAGGGAAACCGAGUCUUAAUUGGGCGUUAAGUUGCAGGGUAUAGACCCGAAACCCGGUGAUCUAGCCAUGGGCAGGUUGAAGGUUGGGUAACACUAACUGGAGGACCGAACCGACUAAUGUUGAAAAAUUAGCGGAUGACCUGUGGCUGGGGGUGAAAGGCCAAUCAAACCGGGAGAUAGCUGGUUCUCCCCGAAAGCUAUUUAGGUAGCGCCUCGUGAAUUCAUCUCCGGGGGUAGAGCACUGUUUCGGCUAGGGGGCCAUCCCGGCUUACCAACCCGAUGCAAACUGCGAAUACCGGAGAAUGUUAUCACGGGAGACACACGGCGGGUGCUAACGUCCGUCGUGAAGAGGGAAACAACCCAGACCGCCAGCUAAGGUCCCAAAGUCAUGGUUAAGUGGGAAACGAUGUGGGAAGGCCCAGACAGCCAGGAUGUUGGCUUAGAAGCAGCCAUCAUUUAAAGAAAGCGUAAUAGCUCACUGGUCGAGUCGGCCUGCGCGGAAGAUGUAACGGGGCUAAACCAUGCACCGAAGCUGCGGCAGCGACACUGUGUGUUGUUGGGUAGGGGAGCGUUCUGUAAGCCUGUGAAGGUGGCCUGUGAGGGUUGCUGGAGGUAUCAGAAGUGCGAAUGCUGACAUAAGUAACGAUAAAGCGGGUGAAAAGCCCGCUCGCCGGAAGACCAAGGGUUCCUGUCCAACGUUAAUCGGGGCAGGGUGAGUCGACCCCUAAGGCGAGGCCGAAAGGCGUAGUCGAUGGGAAACAGGUUAAUAUUCCUGUACUUGGUGUUACUGCGAAGGGGGGACGGAGAAGGCUAUGUUGGCCGGGCGACGGUUGUCCCGGUUUAAGCGUGUAGGUGUGUGUUCCAGGUAAAUCCGGUUCACUUUAACACUGAGGCGUGAUGACGAGGCACUACGGUGCUGAAGCAACAAAUGCCCUGCUUCCAGGAAAAGCCUCUAAGCAUCAGGUAACAUCAAAUCGUACCCCAAACCGACACAGGUGGUCAGGUAGAGAAUACCAAGGCGCUUGAGAGAACUCGGGUGAAGGAACUAGGCAAAAUGGUGCCGUAACUUCGGGAGAAGGCACGCUGACACGUAGGUGAAGUGAUUUACUCAUGGAGCUGAAGUCAGUCGAAGAUACCAGCUGGCUGCAACUGUUUAUUAAAAACACAGCACUGUGCAAACACGAAAGUGGACGUAUACGGUGUGACGCCUGCCCGGUGCCGGAAGGUUAAUUGAUGGGGUCAGCGCAAGCGAAGCUCCUGAUCGAAGCCCCGGUAAACGGCGGCCGUAACUAUAACGGUCCUAAGGUAGCGAAAUUCCUUGUCGGGUAAGUUCCGACCUGCACGAAUGGCGUAAUGAUGGCCAGGCUGUCUCCACCCGAGACUCAGUGAAAUUGAACUCGCUGUGAAGAUGCAGUGUACCCGCGGCAAGACGGAAAGACCCCGUGAACCUUUACUAUAGCUUGACACUGAACAUUGAGCCUUGAUGUGUAGGAUAGGUGGGAGGCUUUGAAGUGUGGACGCCAGUCUGCAUGGAGCCGACCUUGAAAUACCACCCUUUAAUGUUUGAUGUUCUAACGUGGACCCGUAAUCCGGGUUGCGGACAGUGUCUGGUGGGUAGUUUGACUGGGGCGGUCUCCUCCUAAAGAGUAACGGAGGAGCACGAAGGUUGGCUAAUCUCGGUCGGACAUCAGGAGGUUAGUGCAAUGGCAUAAGCCAGCUUGACUGCGAGCGUGACGGCGCGAGCAGGUGCGAAAGCAGGUCAUAGUGAUCCGGUGGUUCUGAAUGGAAGGGCCAUCGCUCAACGGAUAAAAGGUACUCCGGGGAUAACAGGCUGAUACCGCCCAAGAGUUCAUAUCGACGGCGGUGUUUGGCACCUCGAUGUCGGCUCAUCACAUCCUGGGGCUGAAGUAGGUCCCAAGGGUAUGGCUGUUCGCCAUUUAAAGUGGUACGCGAGCUGGGUUUAGAACGUCGUGAGACAGUUCGGUCCCUAUCUGCCGUGGGCGCUGGAGAACUGAGGGGGGCUGCUCCUAGUACGAGAGGACCGGAGUGGACGCAUCACUGGUGUUCGGGUUGUCAUGCCAAUGGCACUGCCCGGUAGCUAAAUGCGGAAGAGAUAAGUGCUGAAAGCAUCUAAGCACGAAACUUGCCCCGAGAUGAGUUCUCCCUGAGACUUAGAGUCUCCUGAAGGAACGUUGAAGACGACGACGUUGAUAGGCCGGGUGUGUAAGCGCAGCGAUGCGUUGAGCUAACCGGUACUAAUGAACCGUGAGGCUUAACCUU